UACGUAGGGUGCGAGCGUUAAUCGGAAUUACUGGGCGUAAAGCGUGCGCAGGCGGUUUUGUAAGCCAGAUGUGAAAUCCCCGGGCUUAACCUGGGAAUGGCAUUUGGGACUGCAAGGCUCGAGUGCGGCAGAGGAGACUGGAAUUCCUGGUGUAGCAGUGAAAUGCGUAGAUAUCGAGAGGAACACCAGUGGCGAAGGCGAGUCCCUGGACAGGUCCUGACGCUGAGGCACGAAAGCUAGGGGAGCAAACAGG
rnacentral:rRNA from 1 species